UCUUACAUUCGAAUUUCAAGCUCCAUUGAAGAGGUCCAAGCAUUGGUGAAUCCGAGGAGAAGAACAUCUACCACUUCUCCGCCACGGCAGGGAUAGCUACCGAGGUGGGGGCUUGUGCUGUUGAGCAAAUCGUCCAGGCCGUCGUGGUGGGAGAUGCUGUUGAGAUCCCGGCGGCUCCGAGCUCUGCGGUCCUCGAGGCAGGUGUCCCUGUUGCUGAGCAGGGGACGUCGGCUACCGCUUCCGCUACUGCCGAGGUUCGGGGCAAGGGGCCAAGUUCCGAGGUCCCUAAGGCGACGCCUGCAGUCUCUACGCCGUCGUCAGGUCCGUCACAGGGGGCCUCCCAGAGCCGAUACAUUGCUCACCGCUUCUGGAAGGACAGCUCUGAUGUGCGCCUGGACCACGUGAGUGCCUCCACCGACAUGAAUUCGCUGUGGAGCGCGAGGGUGACCGCCGAGAGGUUCUUCCCCAAGGGAUCGCUGAGCUCGGAGGAUCAAGAGAUGAUCGAGGAGGCCGGGCCCGUGGAGAGCUUUGAUGUUGCUCAGGUCCUUCUACAGAGGGCUACGGCCAUUAUGGACCACUGGAAGCAUAGGUGGUCCAAGUAGCAGGAGGAUCUGGCUAAACUGAGGGGCCGAGUUCAACCCCUGAGGGAUGAAAACAAAGUCUUGAAGGAGGAGAACAAGGUCCUUAGUGCUGCCCUCGGUGAAGCAAAAUUGCAGGGUGCCGAGCUGCGAGUCGCGAGGGGGGAUCUUGCGAGGGUGCAGAAGUCGCUGGAGAUUGCCUUGCAUUCCAACGAGAACUAUGCCUCCCAGGUGGGCAAGCUACAGGGGCUUGCCGCCUCAUCCCGGAGUCGGGUGCGCUUCCUUGAAGAUGAGGUGACGUCUUUCCGUGGUCGGGUUCGCUGUUUGGAGGAUGAAGUAACCUCCUUGAAGAGUGAGCUGGUGGCGGCGGCUGAGAAGCGUCUCUGUGACGAGGUCAUCCUGGGCGGCAAAGAGGAGGAGCUCGCCUCUUUGAGAGUGGAGUUGGCGAAGCUGGAGGAGGCCAAGGCGGGGCUGGAGAGGAAACUCGAGGAGACUGAGUGAGUUGUCAUCUUCGAGCAUAAGAGGGGCUUCCUCAAGGCUACUUGCCAGGCCCGACUCCUUGCACCAGGGUUCGACUUCUCGGCCAUGCACGUGGAGAAGGUUGUCCGCUUUGAGAAGCUGAACAAGGAGGAUGAUGUCGAGGACAACUCUAGUGACAACGCCUCCGCC